UACGUAGGGUGCGAGCGUUGUCCGGAAUUAUUGGGCGUAAAGAGCUCGUAGGCGGUGUGUCGCGUCGGCCGUGAAAACCUGGGGCUUAACUCCGGGUCUGCAUUCGAUACGGGCAGGCUAGAGUUUGGUAGGGGAGAUCGGAAUUCCUGGUGUAGCGGUGAAAUGCGCAGAUAUCAGGAAGAACACCCGUGGCGAAGGCGGUUCUCUGGGACGGUACUGACGCUGAGACGCGAAAGCGUGGGGAGCGAACAGG
rnacentral:rRNA from 1 species